UGUCAGAUUAGCUAGUUGGUGGGGUAAAGGCCUACCAAGGCGACGAUCUGUAGCGGGUCUGAGAGGAUGAUCCGCCACACUGGAACUGAGACACGGUCCAGACUCUACGGGAGGCAGCAGUGGGGAAUUUUGGACAAUGGGCGCAAGCCUGAUCCAGCCAUGCCGCGUGAGUGAAGAAGGCUUCGGGUUGUAAAGCUCUUUCGGCCGGGAAGAAAUCGUACAGGUUAAUACCCUGUGCGGAUGACGGUACCGGCAUAAGAAGCACCGGCUAACUACGUGCCAGCAGCCGCGGUAAUACGUAGGGC
rnacentral:rRNA from 1 species